UACGUAGGGGGCAAGCGUUGUUCGGAAUUACUGGGCGUAAAGGGCGCGUAGGCGGCCUUCUAAGUCGAACGUGAAAUCCCCGGGCUCAACCCGGGAACUGCGUCCGAGACUGAAAGGCUCGAAUCCGGGAGAGGGAUGUGGAAUUCCAGGUGUAGCGGUGAAAUGCGUAGAUAUCUGGAGGAACAUCGGUGGCGAAGGCGGCAUCCUGGACCGGUAUUGACGCUGAGGCGCGAAAGCCAGGGGAGCAAACGGG
rnacentral:rRNA from 1 species